rnacentral:piRNA from 1 species
UGGCUUCUCUAAUGAGUACAUCUGUCC